AGAGAAAGGAUCCAAAGGGAUCGCAUUGAUCCUCAUUAAGCUAACUUAUUUCCCAAUGAUGAUAAUUUUAAUAUUCUCAAUCGAAAGAUGGAAAAAAUCCCAAAAUUUUGCUUCGUUUUCCGGAUCAUGCGAUCUCUUUGGAUUCAUCCUU
rnacentral:pre_miRNA from 1 species